rnacentral:rRNA from 1 species
GACGAACGCUGGCGGCGUGCUUAACACAUGCAAGUCGAACGAUGAAGCCGGAGCUUGCUCUGGUGAAUUAGUGGCGAACGGGUGAGUAACACGUGAGUAACCUGCCCUUGACUCUGGGAUAACUGCUAGAAAUGGUAGCUAAUGCCGGAUACGACCCUCGGAGGCAUCUCCAGGGGGUGGAAAGAAUUUCGGUCAAGGAUGGACUCGCGGCCUAUCAGCUAGUUGGUGAGGUAACGGCUCACCAAGGCGACGACGGGUAGCCGGCCUGAGAGGGUGACCGGCCACACUGGGACUGAGACACGGCCCAGACUCCUACGGGAGGCAGCAGUGGGGAAUAUUGCACAAUGGGCGCAAGCCUGAUGCAGCAACGCCGCGUGAGGGAUGACGGCCUUCGGGUUGUAAACCUCUUUUAGUAGGGAAGAAGCGAAAGUGACGGUACCUGCGGAAAAAGCACCGGCUAACUACGUGCCAGCCGCCGCGGUAA